CGGGGCACGAACCCGUAUCCCCUGCAUCGGCAGGCGGACUCUCAACCACUGCGCCACCAGGGAAGCCCCAGACUUAUGUUGUUCUGAUCUCCACUGCAGGCUCUUCCUGAGUGUACACCCUCGGCCAAGAUCGCAGACUCAUAGGACGUUGGUGGGAAAAGACUUUGGUAAACAUCUAGCCCAGCACUUUCUUCUUGCUGCCAAAAUGUUGUGCCUUGAAUUCCUGUCCUCAUGCCACUUCAAGUGGUUUGAGAUUGUUUUUGAUUCUGUGCAAAAGUUCGGGAGACCUCAGGGACAGGCUGCCUGGAGACCUGAAGUUGCUGGAGAAGACUGUGCCCAGGCCAGCUGCCGGCGAGCAGAUUAGGGUCAUCCCUUCCCAACUGCUAGCGACAGCCGCAGGCAUACACGCAAGCCCCGCCCCUGCGCCUCAGCUUUCCCACUCAGACCAUGAGGGUGCGGAGUCAUGCCGCUUCGGAAGUUCUCCCUAGCUCUGAAACUUCACCAUUUGCCAGGCUUCGUCCCCACCUCCGUUUUAAGCAGAGUUUUCUUUCCUACACAAAGCGAAUCUCCGUUCCAGAUGUGCGGUGUGUUGGAAAGAACAGAAGAUCUGGAAAUAGAAAGAUGUACGACGUUUCACUCCUGCUCUCCAUUUUCGACGGGAGAUCCUCCCUUGGUCCACUUAGAAGAGCAGCAGACCUGACCUCUGCCUACGAAUUGCAAACCAGCAGCAUCCGAGUACACAACCAGCACCCUGGAGUUUUACAAUUCCCCCCCCCGCCCCAACUCACCGGCAGGACACUUCAUACAGAACGGCCCCUUUUAAGUGACCUUAAAUUCCAUGCACACUGUUUCCAGCAUUCAUCGUUCUCGGCACUGUCUGCACAGUCCAGAUCUGCAAACUGCAAGUUGUAGCCCAACUUGCAAAUUGUCCCUCAAGGGAACAAGGGCAUUUACAAAACAGGGACAAACCUUGCAGAGAGGCUUGAGAAUGGCUUCCCUACCUUAGACUUCUGAGAAGGUGUGGGUCAACUGCUUGCUUCCUGUAGCCUAAAAGUGUAAGUCGUGGUGAGCUUCAAAGUGUAAUUCUUAUUCUGAGCUACAUCUAACAUUACACUCAAGAACAAGACCUGGCUCACACCAGCGAAGCAGAAGAGCGUGAGGCCCAGAGGAUGCAGAAACAGUUACGACGCACUACGGGGCCUAGGCUGCACGGGAACAGGCCCGGAAAGCCCAUAUGACAGUCACAGAAAUUCCCGCACUGCCAUUCCAACGAGGCUGAGAGCAGGAUACUAUCAAACCCAAGGGGGAGGUCUCUCUGUUUAUCUGUCAUGACUCUUCCCAAUUUGGUGGUCCCCCAGAGAAAGAAGCUUCCAAUAAACAGAAGCUUAGGACUCUCAGAAGAUGCGCCUCACUUACCCAGCAGGUCACGUGACAGCCCCAAGGUCACUAACUCCACCAGGAGAACAAGCGCGGGCGGUGCUCCUGGGCGGAGGGUGAUCACAACGCCACAGAGUGAAGCAGGGUGGCCUUUCCACUGGGACAGAAUUAGCUGUAAGAACCUGGGCUGCACUCCUAUUAAAGAUGCUAACCUGCUCCUACCUUUGCAAAGCCCGAGUGACAUUCUCUGUGUUGCUGACUCCUAAUGACGAUUUUGCAUCCCUGCCCUAGAGCACCUGCUUUGCACCUGUGCCAGCUGUAACCCACACCUGUGCUGACUACACCAAUGGCCCAACUCCUGCCGGUAAACCUAACUCACGCUGAUUUCCACCCUUCCCACCAGGCCUCCGUCUGGUGAGCAGUACGCUCCUCCCUCCUACAUCUCAGUUUUUGCUGUCCCGGUACCACCACACAGCCCAAGGGAUGCGAGUCCAAAGCCAACAUUUCUUCUGCCACUGAGUUCAGAUAAAGCAAAAUGCACUAAUUAGAUCAUAUUCCAAACACCAGUUUUCAUGCUUUAUGAUAGAUUUAGGACUCCUGGAAGAGAAGCUAAUGAUAACAGCAGGUCACGCCAAGGAAGGGCCAUCCGUGGGGAUGGACUCCUGCCCACGGGCACUGCCAGACGCUGAGGGUGCACAACACACCCUCACCUCGUCUCCCAAGAUGUCCAUCUCAGUCCUGACCCUCAACACAUCUGGCUGGGACCCGACGGCCCUGAGCUUUCUGAGAACAGCGAUCAGGAGAAGGGAACAAUUUGUCCAAUAGCUCCAUGGCAGGCAAGGGUUUUUGCCUUUGGCAACUUCCUUAGAUGGUUGAAAGAUUUAAAGAUUUUUCAACCCGAGUGCGCGGCUCUGACUUCCCCACUUUCUCGGAAUCCCCUUCUCAACAGCCUGAUCUCUGGUUUCCAUCCCCCAGCACUCCAAUAACACUGCCCUUUCCAAGGCCAUCCACAGCCUCAUUCUGAAUAAAUCUCAAGGCGAUUUUUCUGUUCUCAUCCUCCUUCUCCACACCCUCUUUCUUGAAAGUCUCUCCUGUCUUCCCUUGCAAAGUGUGGGCUCUUUUCUCUUGAGUUGCCUCCUUCCUGCCAACUUUUCCUCUGCACGCUAUCCUUCUCUGACGCUGCUGAGCUGUGUUUGUCCCCCUAAGCUAUAAGCGUUAACCUUCUCCUUCUCCUUCUCCUUCUCCUUCGUCUUCUGUUUCUAUAUACACACACCCAGCAACCACCUCUGCUGCAAAACCACUUAGAACUCCCCAGGGGAACUUUUAUCCCCAGCUGCAAACACUCCGGGCACUGGCGGAGCCCUCUUUGCUUUGGCCACCGGGCUAAAACCCUGACCUGCCCACACUUAGGACAGGGCAAACCCUGACAAAAAUAAAAUGCCUUUUGCUUGGAGAUGAGUGAUCCCACCUCUAUAAUGCUGCCUCUUUGAACCCCCAAAUCAAUGUUUGGUUUCAAAAUUGAAGUUCAGAGCCUGGUUGAUGUGAAAUUCACUUCCCGUCCUUGAGACUCUGCAGACUAAAAUCGAUGCUGACCUCGACUUGUUUCCUUCAAAGCCCCUUCCAAAUUGUUGGCCUCGGUCCCAUCUUCUUCUACUUCUUAACAUUAAACUUGGCACCUCCAUCUUAACGUGACAGCGCUCACAGCCUCUUUCCAAUCUAGUUCACCUUUAUUCCAUCACCCAGGGGCAAAAAGAUGCCUGAAACAGAGCCCUACUUCUCGCUGAGGGGCAAGGUAGGCUGAGCUUAUGUAGAAUUUACAGACUGUGGUCAGGGUUAGGAAGGAGAGCUCCACAUGCAGCGUGAGGGGGUCACAGGCCUAGCUGACCACCUCGGAGGUUGAGGGGAGAGGGCGUCCACAGGCUGGGGCCCGGAGGGCAAGGAGCAGCCCACCCCCAACGGAGCCCAGUGGGAAGAGCCUUCCAGGAGGCAAGCCUGGGAUGGGCAGCCGCCCUGCAACCAGAGGAGUCACGAUGCAUGUGGCAGUCAGAGGAAAAGGCCAGCAUGACCGGACUGCAGAGACAGCUUUGGCCUCAGACAUGAGACUGGAGUCAGAUCAAGUAGGGCUUUACAAACCAUGCUGAGAAGACUGAUUUAUUUUAUUUCCCCCCAUAAAAGGAUAUUACUCAAUUACUUUAAUCUUAUUUUAAAAUUUUUACUGGAGUAUAGUUGAUUUACAAUGCUGUGUUGGUUUCAGGUGUACAGCCAAGUGAUUCAAUCAUACAUAGACCUGUAGCCACUCUUUUUUAGAUUCUUUUCCUGUACAGGUCAUCACAGAGUAAUGUACAUACAGUAGGUCUCUAUUAGUUACCUAUUUAUAUGUAGUAGUGUGUGUAUAUGUCAAUCCCAAUCUCCCAGUUUAUCCCUCCCGCCCCCCUUAACCCCUGGUAACCAUAGUUUAUUUUCUACAUCUUCAAUUACUUUAAUCUUGACAUGACCAGAACCGCCAUGCAUGCAGAACACACUGAGGCCUGGGUUGGGGGAGGUGCAGGAAAACCAGUUAAGAAGCCUGAGACGCCUACGGCAGUGACUCCUUAAAGGAGCUCAGAGUUAGUGGGAGAAAUUGUCACCAAUCAGUCGAGCAAGACUUUGCACCUCUCCCCUUACCUGGAAAGAUUAAACCUCUAGUAACUGGAAUCAAGAUCUCCAAGUUUAGCUCUUUUGCAUAUUUCCCUGGUGAUUUUCACCAAAAAUGCCUUCCUAAAGAUUCCUACGGAAAUAUUAAAACAUAAUUACACAAUAAUCCUAAAAGACAAGGCUAUACAUACAUGUGAUAUUGCUGCUGCCGGAGCUGACCUUUCAAAUUGUAGCCUGCACCAGGGAGUGUAACAGAUUAGGGAAACCGUGUGAAAAAAGCAGCCUGCAAACUCUUGUGUCUGUCCUCACAAAAUGCAAACACAACAACAAUAACAAUGCUUGCCACACCUGAGUAAGCAAUGUGGGGAAACAGCCAAACUGGCGGGGUAGCAACGUGGAGAGGGUGCUACAACCAGUUCACCCAGGGCCACGGAAGAUGGGCUGCUUACCGGCUCAGGGGGGCAGCUUGUUUCAGGCUCCACCAAGCUCAGUCCGGGCACAGGCACUGAACAGCAAAGUCAGAAGGAUUAAGUGACUCUGCCGCCUGCGUGUGUGUUGGCCCUAUAACUGGGUCUAGAAGAUGCCAACUGGCACUCAAGCCGUAACUCCCUUCUUAAGGAGAAACUAGCACUCCCCUUACUCAGACCAGAAUUUCUCCUUCUGGUUUAACCCCUCCUAGAAAACCAUCCUUGGCUUUGCAAACCUAUGUAAAAACACAGCCCCGGCUCCCUGGCUUUCCUGCCCUCCCCAACAUGCACCUGCAAAUCCCUCCUAGGCACAAAUGCAAAACAGUUGCCAAUCGUCCUUUUGGGGAUUCGUAGGGCAACCAGCCAACUGGCCGCCAGCAGGUUAUUCACACUGCAAUAGGAAACAAAUUUCUUGCUGCAAUUAUCCUUAAAUUUCGACUGUUCACCCCAGGAAUAAACUAAUUGCUGCUGUAAAACACCCUUUCCCACACUGUCCAGCACACGUCUGUAAAUUCCAAGAGGGGUGGGUGUGAGCUGGCUGCCAGUCGGCCUCUGGAAAGGAAUAUGGCGGCUGGCCAACUGGAAGCCAAUUUAUUAUUCACGGCGGAAGAGAACUUGAACUUCUUAUUGCAAAUACCCCACAUGCUUCGGUGUUUACCUUUGAACUACACAACUUGGACCUUAAUUUGUAAUAAGCCCGUGUGUACUGCUGGCUGUGGACUAGUGGCAAAGGCAUAGGGAAGGGAAGACAAUAUCGUAUCUCAAAUAUUUACUGAAUACCUGUGAAACGCCAGGUGGCAUGUUGGAUGCUGACAAUUGUACAUGGGAGUUCUAUAUUCUUAGAGGAAUUCACAGAACGGGGGUAAAAUCCAUUCUCUCCAUUGCCGCCAACUAUUAAACCUGUAAGUGCAGGUUUUGCUCCAAACACCCUUUCAACUUCUCUUCCUUACGCUUUCAUCAUCAAGACUGGAGGUCUUACCGGGGUUUUACAAGGUGUAUGACAAGAGCAUCUUCUGAAGUAGCUCACCUUCAGAAGGUCUGUGCUUUUGUGCCUUUGAACAAACGAUUGUUUCUGCCUAAAACCUCUCUCUCCUGCUUCUCCGAGUGUGAAAAGCGUACAAAUCUCUGACGACCCAACUCAAGUGUGGGAGGUGGAGAGAGACACAAACAUCCUGGAAGGAUACAGUAGACAACCUCACAGGCAAAGGUCCAAAACGAGCCCAGGGUUGUGAAGGUGGGAACCGGGAAGCCUACAGGGACCAACACUUUCAAUACGUCUUUCCAGUAUCAUUCCACAUAUGAGCUCUGCUUCUCUCGGCCUCUUUUCCGGCUGUUCCUUUAGAUGACUGGCCUCUUCUGCUUGCCGUGUCCAGAGUAAAUAGCAGCACCACGGCCGACACACCUUCAAGGUCCAGGGCCCAUCACCGUGAGUACACGCUCUGUGUUGCUUCAGUGCUUUAAGGGAGGUUCUAAUACACUGCUGAUGUAUAGUGGACUGACCCUCCUUGGGUCAAGGGCCCCACCCUGGAUGCUCAGCUGUGGCUGGAAGACCGGGUUCCACGGUAGGAACACCUAGUCCUACCACUUCAGUGAAGCCACGGACAGGUUCAUGGAAGGUUUUGUGAGCAACGCAACCAAACGGUCUGUUAUGUAACUGGCCACACCCCUAUGGUCACGAGUGGCUGUGUCCGCCCCCCACGCACACUCCCCAAUCCAUUAGGCUACACAGGCCCCCCCAGGACCACGUUAACUUCCUGCCUUGCUAUCCCUUGGCUUCGGCUCCGGCAAAUAAAUAGGCUUUCAAUGUUUGUUGAGUAAGCCUUUUAAAAAUAUAAACUGGAUUAUGUCACUCCCUCACUUAAAAACUUCAGCGGCUUCCCACUGUAUCUAAAAUAAAACCCAAAUUUCCUUUCGUGAGCUCAGAGGCCCAAAGGGAACGAGGCCCUCCUCUGUCUCCAUGUCAGUCAGGUGCCUCUCACCUCUUCCUUCUCAGUGCUCGGGCUUUUCCUUUAUUCCCUCUAACACAUCACAAUCCUGCCAGGCUCAGGCCCUUGACAAGUCCUGUUCCCUGUCUGGAAUGUUCUCUGGUUCUUCACGCAGCUGGCGCCUUCCCAUUCCUGCUUCGGAAUCCAGCUGAAAUGUUACCUCAUCAGAGAAGCCUUUCCUGACCAGCCAGUCCAACAACAUGCUCACUCACUCUGCUCCGUGGGGUGUGCUCAUAGCAUGUACCGCAAUUUUGGAUCGUCGGCCAGUCGGCCUAUUCACUUCUCUGCCGUCUUUACCCCGGGUGGGCUGUGAGCUCUGCAGAGUUACACAGGUCUCCUUCCUUCUUGCCCAUACAGAUGGGGCCUGAUACGGUGCCUGGCACGCAAUCAGUGUCUGUGGGUGGACGAAUGUAUCAGAAGAUAAAGAGUCUAAUUCUGGCUUGAUCACUGACAGUCAUCUUGGGCAAAAUACUUCUUUCUUUUCUUCCUUUUUCAAAUUUUUUAUUUUAAUUUAUGGCUUUUAUUGAAGUAUAGUUGAUUUACAAUGUUGUGUUCAUGUCUGCUGUUCUCCUUUCUAAGUGUCCGUUUCCUCUUCAACAAAAUCAGGAGACUCCAGAAUUAUUCUGAUUCACUGAAAACUACUCAAGCCUCCCUCUCUGAGACGCCUUCCCUAAUUAACCCAUCUCAUUCUAAAGCUGAAUGCCUACGCUGAAAUACUAUUUUGCAGCUGUUUUAUGGUUAUUGUAAGGUCUUUGGAGACAGGAAGCAAUGGUUCUUGGAAAAGGAGAGAAUUCUGGGUCACCUGGAAUUUUUGAGACUCCUGAAAUAUCUUCAAAGAAGGUAGAAAUUCCUAAAUAUGUUUACAAAAAGUAUGAUAAAAUAUUAAUGCUUAUAUUGAACGCAUUCAUGUUUUAAACACAAACGUACAAUGCAAUGUAGCUAUGCUAUGUGUAGAAAACUGCCCAUGCUUCCUUCAACAAAAACAUUAUUCAGGUGCUUACUGACUGUCAAUUACGAGCAUUAAAGACCGUUAUCCACCUGCUAUCACAUUUAAUAUGACAAAACCUGCAUGACAGACUGUUAUUUCAGGGAUCCCAGUGAACCAUGCUUUCCAGUAUUUAUACCCUGUGAGUCUCCACACACACUGAGGCUGAGCUUGGCCACGGGACCAGCUUUGGCCAAUAAGACUUUAGGAGGAAUUAUGCAGGGGAGCUCCCACAUCAGGGGUCAUCCUGGGGCUUGUCCUCGUGAGCUGCUCCUCCAUGGAACCCAUACACCAUGAUUCAAGGAGGCCCACUUGGUGGAGAAUCCAGGCCCUGGUCCUAGCAGAGCUCUCAGGCAGCAGCCAGCACCACUUACUAACCACGUGAGUGAAGACAUUUCGACCUUCCACACAUCCCAUGAAGUAGAACUGCCUCUCAACCAACCAAGAGAAUCAGGAGAAAAAAAAAAUAAUUCAUUGUUGUUUUAGGCCACCACAUUUGGAGGUGGUUUGCUAGUCAGCAAUCAGAUAACAGAAACGCCCUGAAAAGUAGGUAUCAUCUCACUUGCCCAGAGGAGUCAGAAGUGGCAAGUGACCAAACUCACAUCACUAUUGUGAUUCUAAUCUUUACUGACCACCUUCUCUGGAGGAAAGCAAGUUAAUCUUCAAAAUAGCCAAUAUGUCAACAGGUCCUACUAAAGAAGAGCCUCUGUGCGGACCAUCUGACCCGGUUCCCUCCACCCCAAAGCCAUAGACGAUUGAAAGCAGUUGGCAACGAACUCAAAAACAGCCAAAUCAUCAACUGACCUACAGCCUACACUACGGCUUCGCAACGGCAUAAAAAGUCAUACUGAACCCACCAGAUUCCCUUUCUCAAGAGUUCUAACUAAACAUACUGGAUGACUACGGCAGCUGAGCAGUAGAAACUGAAGCCAACAUGGUAGCACGAGUUAGCAUAAGACAGAUCAUAACACACCAAAGCUAUGAGAAAACAUAAAAUAAAAUGAACAAGCAGAAGCUAUAAAGUAGAAAAAAUAACAGUGUUCAGGUAAAUAACUUCUUAGUAGACAUUCAGAAGCAGAAGCGGGCAGAGGAAACAGUCCAAAGCAGCAGAAACAGGAAAACGUGCUAUGUGUUGGCAUCUCCACACGGCUCCCAAGAACUGCCUGGUUUCCUGACGGCUUUCCAGUUGUGAUUUUUAAAAGGCUAUGGUCUUAUAAUAAACUGAUCUUUUCUUAAAGUAAGCUGAGUAAUUUUCUAUUCCCUGCAGCCUUGACGAUCACACUAAAACAAAUUUCAAACAGGAAAUAAUUCCCACUAUGGAAAAUUCACCUAAGAAAGAUUAUGGUUUUUCUAGUUCCUUUUAACGAGGGUUUAAUUUCCAAUAAGCAGGUUCCCAGGAUUAUUAGGUGGGGGCA